UUUGUUGAGAAUUUUGAUUUGCUUACUGAUGGUACUUUUUCCACUAUCGGAGGCACCUAGAAAACAAUGGUUAGACUGACGAUUGUAAGAAACAAAGGAAGGAAAAUUUGCUAUAGGAAUCAAACAAAAAAUCUGUGCUAUGCAAUGGAGAGAAACGGUAAGAGUGUAGAGCAACUGAUUACAACAUGCAACGACGACGAAAAGUGGUUAACUAGAAGAACGUUAUCAAAGUCACCUUCACUGACUGAGUAUUGAAGGGAAAGGGUAACCAAGAGUAGAGAACGUAGACGCAAUUAGA